CGGCUUCAGGUUUCUUCUGUUGGAUUUUCCCAUCCAUAGUCCAGCACCACAUGUGCUCAUGCUUUGUUAAAGUCCUCACCUCGCUGUCGUCAUGGAGAAGUGAACUCACUGAAAUCAGCAGCAAGAAAAUGAGACGUUCAUCCAGAAGAGAGUCAGCUUUUGCAACGCAACCUGGACACAUCGUCAGUGAUAGACCGGGGUCAUCAGGUGUUUAGGGUCUUAACAUCAGACACCCUCGCCCGGGAGACCCAUCCGGGGUGAUCAGGCCCCGACUUGUGUUCCAGGUUGAUAAAUAACUCCUUGUUGCCAGUGAUGGUGCUGGUGUAGCACUUGUAUCUUCCCUGGUCCUGAACCUCCACCCCUGUCAACCGG